rnacentral:tRNA from 1 species
UUGGUAAGUACCCGAGUGGCAGCAGGGAGCGGACUGUUAAUCCGUUGGCGAAAGCCCACCGUAGGUUCGAAUCCUACCUUACCAGCCAA